rnacentral:rRNA from 1 species
CCUSAGAGUUUGAUCAUGGCUCAGAUUGAACGCUGGCGGCAGGCUUAACACAUGCAAGUCGAGCGGGGGAAGGUAGCUUGCUACYGGACCUAGCGGCGGACGGGUGAGUAAUSCUUAGGAAUCUGCCUAUUAGUGGGGGACAACAUCUCGAAAGGGAUGCUAAUACCGCAUACGUCCUASGGGAGAAAGCAGRGGAUCUUCGGACCUUSCGYUAAUAGAUGAGCCUAAGUCGGAUUAGCUAGUUGGUGGGGUAAAGGCCUACCAAGGCGACGAUCUGUAGCGGSUCUGAGAGGAUGAUCCSCCMCACUGGGACUGAGACACGGCCCAGAYUCCUACGGGAGGCASCAGUGGGGAAUAUUGGMCAAUGGGCGCAAKCCUGAUCCASCCAUSCCGSGUGUGUGAAGAAGSCCUUAUGGUUGUAAAGCACUUUAAGCGAGGAGGAGGMUACUUUAGAUAAUACCUAGAGAUAGUGGACGUUMCUCGCAGAAUAAGCACCGGCUAACUCUGUSCCASCASCCGCGGUAAUACAGAGGGUGCAAGCGUUAAUSGGAUUUWCUGGGSGUAAAGCGCGCGUAGGCGGYUAAUUAAGUCAAAUGUGAAAUCCCCGAGCUUAMCUUGGGAAUUSCAUUSGAUACUGGUUAGCUAGAGUGUGGGAGAGGAUGGUAGAAUUCCAGGUGUAGCGGUGAAAUGSGUAGAGAUCUGGAGGAAUMCCGAUGGSGAAGGCASCCAUCUGKCCUAACACUGMCGCUGAGGUGCGAAAGCAUGGGGAGCAAMCAGGAUUAGAUMCCCUGGUAGUCCAUSCCGUAAACGAUGUCUACUAGCCGUUGGGGCCUUUGAGSCUUUAGUGGCGCAGCUAACGCRAUAASYAGACCGCG